UACGUAGGGGGCAAGCGUUGUCCGGAAUCAUUGGGCGUAAAGAGCGUGUAGGCGGCCCGGUAAGUCCGCUGUAAAAGUCAAAGGCUCAACCUUUGAAUGUCAGUGGAUACUGCCGGGCUAGAGUCCGGAAGAGGCGAGUGGAACUCCUGGUGUAGCGGUGGAAUGCGCAGAUAUCAGGAAGAACACCAACGGCGAAGGCAGCUCUCUGGGACGGUACUGACGCUGAGACGCGAAAGCGUGGGGAGCGAACAGG
rnacentral:rRNA from 1 species